CCGCACGGGUGAGUAACACGUAUCCACCUGCCGUCUACUCUUGGACAGCCUUCUGAAAGGAAGAUUAAUACAAGAUGGCAUCAUGAGUCCGCAUGUUCACAUGAUUAAAGGUAUUCCGGUAGACGAUGGGGAUGCGUUCCAUUAGAUAGUAGGCGGGGUAACGGCCCACCUAGUCUUCGAUGGAUAGGGGUUCUGAGAGGAAGGUCCCCCACAUUGGAACUGAGACACGGUCCAA
rnacentral:rRNA from 1 species